GCCAGCAGCCGCGGUAAUUCCAGCUCUCAAAAUGCAUAGAAUUAUUGCUGCGGUUAAAAAGCUCGUAGUUGGAUCUGUGCUGGGAACUUGGUCCGACUUCGGUCGCGUACUAAGAUUCCUGGCUUUUUGCCGGUUUUCUCGUCAUGGCUUUAACCGGUCGUGGCGGGCAGCUGGCGAGUUUACCUUGAAGAAAUCAAAGUGCUUAAUACAGGCGAUUUGCUUGAAUGUGGUGCAUGGAAUAAUAGAAAAGGAUUUCGGUUCUCUUUUAUUGGUUUUAAGAGCUGAGAUAAUGGUUAACAGAGACAAACGGGGGCAUUCGUAUCGUUGCGUGAGAGGUGAAAUUCUUGGACCGCAGCGAGACGAACUACAGCGAAAGCAUUUGCCAAGAAUGUCUUCAUUAAUCAAGAACGAAAGUCAGAGGUUCGAAGGCGAUCAGAUACCGCCCUAGUUCUGACCGUAAACGAUGCCAACUAGCGAUCCGUCGGCGGAUAUAUCGCCCUGAUGGGGAGCUUCCCGGAAACGAAAGUCUUCCGGUUCCGGGGGAAGUAUGGUUGCAAAGCUGAAACUUAAAGGAAUUGACGGAAGGGCACCACCAGGAGUGGAGCCUGCGGCUUAAUUUGACUCAACACGGGAAAACUCACCCGGCCCGGACACCGUAAGGAUUGACAGAUUGAAAGCUCUUUCUUGAUUCGGUGGUUGGUGGUGCAUGGCCGUUCUUAGUUCGUGGAGCGAUUUGUCUGGUUUAUUCCGAUAACGAGCGAGACUCUAGCUUACUAAAUAGUUUUGUCAUUGCUACUGUGGCAUAACUUCUUAGAGGGAUUUUCGGUGUUUAGCCGCACGAGAUUGAGCAAUAACAGGUCUGUGAUGCCCUUAGAUGUCCGGGGCUGCACGCGCGCUACACUGGCGAAAUCAGCGUGCUGUUUCCUAUCUCGAAAGGGAUUGGUAAACCGAUGAAAAUUUGCCGUGAUUGGGAUCGGAAAUUGCAAUUAUUUUCCGUGAACGAGGAAUUCCAAGUAAGUGCGAGUCAUCAACUCGCGUUGAUUACGUCCCUGCCCUUUGUAA
rnacentral:rRNA from 1 species